ensembl:lncRNA
AAGCCAUGGGCUAACAGCAAUACCAAGAGGAGAUUCAGCUGCGUCAGAUCCCAGUUGCAGCCUUCUCGAUCUUUCACUGUGGCAUACAGGCUCUCUAGUUCCGACCGUCCCUCCCUUUCCUGAGUGCUCAGUUGUGUCUGACUCUUUUCGACCCACGGACUGUAGACCACCAGGCUCCUCUGUCCAUGGGACUCUCCAGGCAAGAAUACUGGAGUGGGUUGCCAUUUUCUUUAAGGGAUCUUCCCGACCCAGGGAUCCAACACAUGUCUCCCAUGUUGGCAGGAAUAUUCAACUGCUUGGGUGUGGGCCCAAAGGAGGCAGAGAAGCUGGUUCACUGACUGCUGAGGUUUUUUUAGGUGUCUUCAUUGCUGUCUCUCUGUGUGCCUGCACACACUCAAACACAUCCACAAAAACACGAUUGGAAAAAUACAGGAAGACGUUGUGUUCAUUUUCCUUGUUAAUACCUUGAGUUCUUCAUAUCCAUGAAUGGAGUAG